CCUGUUCCUCUUCGCCCUGUUGUGGUCUUUGCUUGUUAGUAUUGAUUCUGAACUUGUGCUUCUGGUUACGUACUCUCUGGCUUGUUAUCCGACUCUGUGACUUUCUCCUACCCUUUGACCUCGGCUUGUUUCACGUUAUUCUGUCUUCUGGUUCCCCUUACUCGGCUUGUUUCCUGACUAUUCUUUGUGUGCUUAGCCCGGCCACUCUAAGGUCCGGUACGGCACUUUGUGUGUGUG